UGCGCAGGCCGCGCGGGCAGUCAAAUGUGUAAUUCAGGGGCUCAACCCCUGCACUGCGCUUGAUACUUCCGCGCUCGAGCUUUGGAGAGGAGUCUGGAAUUCUCGGUGUAGCAGUGAAAUGCGUGGAUAUCGAGAAGAACACUUAGGGCGAAGGCAAGACUCUGGACAAAUGCUGACGCUCAUGCACGAGGCUAGGGUAGCGAAC
rnacentral:rRNA from 1 species